CUUCAACUCCACAACGCAGCCAGUUUUCAUCCCCUACUGAAAUUUGAGAGAGGAAAAUUGAGUAAAGAGAGAGACCGUGUGAUGAUUUUAGUUCUUCCUUCCAACCAAAGGGGUAAUGUAGACAUUUGACGGAAACAUGAACCGCCAUAUUUUGGUAUAUGCGAAUUUUACGGGAUUUGAAAACAUCCGCCUCUUCUUCUUUCUUCAUUCAUUACGCACACAACCAAAACCACUCCAUCCACUCCCUCCACUACCGCAAACCCUAGUUUUCACUCCCUGCCGCAGCGUUCGAAGAAAUAGCAGCAGUGCACCAAAAUUUCUACGGCAACAAGCUACCGGCGUUAACAGCUGCUCCUAAACAACGACUCCUAUCGACAAUAGAAGCGGCUAAGACUCGACAUCGACGAAGCGAUCGACAAUGUAAUUCUGGUAGCACUUGCGAAAAGAUUCAGGGAUAGAUUGGCCGAGGUGGCCCAAGUACAGCUGGAGAUCAGGGUGAGCCGAAGAGCCGUAGAGGAAGAAAGGGCCCUCGUCUCUUACAUAAUAUGUACAUUAUGUAAAUCAGUCAAAAUGAGUGCAUAUCCGCGAUUAUAACUAAACACUAGUUUUAUAAAUCAAACUAAUGGUCUUUGUUAA